GAUGAACGCUGGCGGCGUGCCUAAUACAUGCAAGUCGAGCGAACGGACGAGAAGCUUGCUUCUCUGAUGUUAGCGGCGGACGGGUGAGUAACACGUGGAUAACCUACCUAUAAGACUGGGAUAACUUCGGGAAACCGGAGCUAAUACCGGAUGAUAUUUUGAACCGCAUGGUUCAAGAGUGAAAGACGGUCUUGCUGUCACUUAUAGAUGGAUCCGCGCUGCAUUAGCUAGUUGGUAAGGUAACGGCUUACCAAGGCAACGAUGCAUAGCCGACCCGAGAGGGUGAUCGGCCACACUGGAACUGAGACACGGUCCAGACUCCUACGGGAGGCAGCAGUAGGGAAUCUUCCGCAAUGGGCGAAAGCCUGACGGAGCAACGCCGCGUGAGUGAUGAAGGUCUUCGGAUCGUAAAACUCUGUUAUUAGGGAAGAACAUAUGUGUAAGUAACUGUGCACAUCUUGACGGUACCUAAUCAGAAAGCCACGGCUAACUACGUG
rnacentral:rRNA from 1 species